AAAUAAAAGGUAAUUUAUACAUAUAAUACUUCUGUCACAUGAAUUAGCCGCCGUUUAGUUAAACUGGUUGCGAGGCGAAAAGGCUCGAACGUGGCCGACUAAUCAUAUGAUAUGGUCGGCGAGACCGGUUUAGUACCCGCGCUUUUCUCACCUGUUGCUGACAGCAUGCGCGCGUGCGAUUAUUUCGGUUGGCUCGAAAAAAACGCGGCAGUGACAAUUUGACGCAGUCUGUUGCACGUUGUUCGCAUAAAUGUUCCAGAUGAGAGCGUAUUUCGUUGUCGAAAGUGCACAGUGCUUAUUUAUUCUAUGCAUAGCUUAUUCAGCGUGUAACAUAACCUAGAAUUUCAUGAGUGUGAUGUUUUCCGGUAUAGAGAAUUGAUAAAAGUUAUACAACAAAGUUGACUGUAGGACAUAACAAUGAGUGUGUGUCAUUGUUAACUUGAUUUUUUGAAAAGUUUUCAGCACAUUUCUCAGGAUUUCGCUGACGAAUAUUUUAAAACGUGCUUAUUAUAUUAUCAGUGACUUUUGACAAGUUAAAGCAACUAUAUUUUAUAAAAUAAAUGAAUAAUAUUUGUUACACAUUAACAUCUACACAACAAUUCUGACGAAAAUUAUAUAAAGAAACCAAGAUAUGACAGAUUAUCUUUCUGCUGAGCUCACAGCCACUUGCGCUGGGCUUGGAUAUUUUGAUGGAAAUGACUACCAUUUAGACAAGCAUUGCUUAGAUGUUAUAAAAGAUCUUAUCAGAUAUCUUAAAAGAGAUGAUGAUACUCACACUAUAAGACGUUUUCUUGGUCAAACAAAAUUACUUCAAACAGAUCUUGUGAGGAUUUUUAUACAUCAUGCUAAUAAUACUGAACUAUGGGAUAUCUUAUUACGAUUGAUUAUUAAUUUAACAAGCCCCGCGUUUUUAAUUUACAAUGAGCAAAUACCAACUGAGAAAACAACAUAUAGUUUGUAUCAACAAAUUAUUUUGUACUUACAAGAGUAUAAGGCAGCUUUAACCGAUGAAAGUGUAUGGUUGGCAGUAGUUGGGCGUUUGGGGACAUUACUAAGUAUUGAUAAUGCAGAAAGGGGGGAGGAAGAUGAGUUAAUAAUUGAAAGAAUAUUGGUUUUCAUUAGAAAUGUAUUGCAAGUACCACCUAAUGAUAAUGAUAAAAGAGCUGAUAAUGAUGCCACUGUUCAUGAUGAGAUAUUAUUUGCAUUUCAUGCAUCAGGUAUUGUGGAUAUAUUGUUGUUCAUUGGCAGUAACAAUAAAGAACAACAAUAUCACAUGCAGAUUUUAGAGGUAAUAUCUUUAAUGUUACGUGAACAAAAUGCAAGCCAGUUGGCUGCAUCUGGAUUGCAGCGUAGUACUGCUGAAAAAGAAAAUGACGAGGCUAAACUUGUAGACUUGCGACAAAAGGAAUUACGUGAAAAGAUGGAAAAAAUGAAAAAAUAUGCUGGUUCGCGGCAUUCACGAUUUGGCGGUACUUAUGUUGUGCAAAAUAUGAAAGCCAUUGGAGAAAAUCAAAUGAUAUGCCAUAAACCAUAUCAAAAAAUUGAAGCGCUAGAAUUCGGUCACAAUAAGAAAAGAGUAAAGCGACGCAAAGACAAAAUCGGUCUACAAGAUACGAAAGGGGAGCGUACAUCCGCUCUUAGCGUGCGGCUCUUUCUAAAGGAAUUUUGCGUAGAAUUUCUUAGCGGUGCUUACAAUCCUGUGAUGAAAUUCGCUAGAUCUUGCAUUAUUAAUGCUGUUCAUGGCGAAGCGUUCGAAACGACUUCCUAUUUGUGGGCACUACGUUUUUUCAUGGAAUUCAAUCGCCAUUACAAGUUCCAAGUGAAAUAUGUUAGCGAAACUAUAUCCACCGAAGUAUUUCAUUUAGUACAAAGACAAAUGGAAGAAUAUUACGAGAUGAUGAUAACUGAUAAGAAAAAGAUACCGCUUUGGGCUCGUAGGUUGCAUUUAGCGUUAAAAGCGUAUCAGGAACUUCUUAACACUCUUAUAGCAAUGGAUAAAAGCACAGAUGACGGUGUUAGGAAAUCUAAUAAAAUAAUCAAAAGCAAUAUUUUUUACGUUCCGGAAUAUCGGGAAACAAUAUUCUCUCAGCUUUUAUGCUUCGAUGAAACUAAAAUGUCACGGUUAUACUUAGUAGAUCUAGUGACGACUGCUCACAUAUUUCUGAAAAUGCUUGAGCAUUUUUGCCAAAAAGGCCAACGACAUCUCAUAGUUCAAAAAGUGAAGCCAAAGAGGCAAAAAGCUAAGAAACGAAAGAAGUCUGCUCAAAAGAAUGUAAUUCCGGCUCUUCCUACGUUGGAAGAACGUUGGGACGCUACCGGUCCUGAAUUAUCUGCUGUAAUGCGAGAUGCUGUUAUACCGGAAAUGAUACCGUUCGAUGCAACUUUAGACACGUCGAUUGACGAUCAGAAAACGGACGCCAUGAAGAGAAUCCAGAAAUUCAUGCGGCGGAAGAACUUGGAACAGGCGGUGGGUCUCUUACGUGCAGCAAGAGAAAUCUGGCCUGAGAACGAUUGCUUCGGAAGAGCGGAUAUAUCGCCGGAGGAGGAAUUUUUAGCUCUUCGCGAAAUCUUCUUUGCAGACCUGGGCGUGGUAGAAGAGCAAUCUGUUAAUCUAGAAACGAUAAAUGUGGACGAAGACAUUGAAAAUUCUACAAAUCGUGAAACAGACGACGAAGAAGACGAUGAAAAUGAGGAAGAAGAAGAAGAAAGAGAAAGUGUUCUCCAAGAGACUGACUUUAAAUUGGAUGAAUUUCUUCAAAGGUUUGCCAACGUGAAGAUCGUCAAAGCUUUAGCACUGUUACUACGAGAGUUCGAGAAUAAUACGAUCGAAAUAAAUCACUACGCAACAAAAAUGCUGCACCGGAUUGCUUGGGAUUGCAAAAUGCCGGGCAUGAUAUUCCAAGCAUCCAUAUUUCGGAUUUUUCAAAGAGCUCUCGAGUCAAAGGACCCUGCGCAUAAGGAGCUCCAAAAGUUCGCGGUCUUCAUAAUCCGCCGUUUCACCGAAGUCGCCCAGAAGAACCGGAAGUCGUACAUGGAGCUGCUCUUCUGGAAGACCACCCGCGACGCGACAGAAAUCGUAGAUGGAUACAACGCAGAACCGACUAACAAGAAAGUUUCGCGAGCAGUCUGGACGGAGGCGGAAGAGGACGAGCUGCGUACUCUCUUCAUGGAACAUCAGACUAACAAAUACCCGCAAGAUUUGAUCGAUUGGUUACUGGAGCACCUCAUUAAUGAAAAUAGAACGCGCCGUACCGUCAUUAAGAAACUCAAGGAAAUGUGUUUGAUUGUCAAUUCGAAGGGUGUGCGAGCGGAGAUACAAAAGAGGUUGCCUAAAGAAUGGUCUGAGGACGAAAUCGCCCAACUUACGGAACUUUGGACACAGCUCAAAGACGAUGACGAUCCCGUGGAUUUGAUUUUCACCGGUCUCAGAAUAAAGCGAUCGAAGCCGAAGAUCAAGGAGAAGCUUUUGGAAUUAGGAUUGGUGCAGGAUCGCAAGGAGCUGCGCAAAAAGCGAGCUAGAAAAAGUAACCAGGGUAAAUCGUCGUGGGAAACGCAGGCUGCCAGUAAUUCUGACGGGAACGAAAGUUCAGCCACCGACGACGAAGACGGCGAAGAAACUCGAAAAUCCUCGAAGCGCGGCGAUGCGCCUCCGAGCGAGUCGAUGAAAAAGAAGCAGCGGAACAAGCGGAAGCUAGCGACGAUCGUUUACACGGAUGCACAAUUAUCUGGUCUCUUGAAGGACGUCAUCGACAGGGAUAUGAGAGAGGCGCUGGAAUGGAUCAAGGAAUCUCUGCAAGACGUUCUGGACGAUCGUGACGAAGAGAGCUCGGAGGGCAUACCCUUGGUGCCACUGACAGAUUACUCGGCGACCGCGAUGGAUUCACCGAGUUUUCAAAAGCUCCUCCGCGCCCUGGGAUUUGUGCCACCGGCUGAUGCCCAGGAAUCUUAUUGGCGUAUUCCGGCGAAUAUGCUUACAAUCACGAUCCAGAAACGUUGCAAACUCAUUGAAGACGCUCUAGCCGGCAAAUUCAUCGUCGCUGAGACACAAUUAGAACGUAAAGACCAUUCGGAUUCUGACGAGAAGAUGAACGAUAGCGAGGACGAGGACGUGUUCGAGAGUGUUAAGAAAUUCUUUGCGCCCAAAGAACCGGAACCGUCUACUUCGAAACAAUCAGAACCUGCAAAGAUUUUGUUGUCACAGAAAUCUAAAAAGUUUUCAGAACUAAAUGAAGGAACCAAUGAAACUGAAGUUGUAGAAGAGAACGUAAGAAGCAAAGUAAGACAUCGAGCAAAGAUGCUCGAUGAUUCUUCCGAAUCCGAAAUGGAGAUUGAAGAGAACAUCGAUGAUAAGAACGACGAUGUAAAGAGAGAUAGAUCUGAUUCUUCCGAUACGAAUGAGCCGUCCAAUAAAAAACGUCGCCUACUCGAUAGCGACGAUGAGACAGAACUGAAAAAUGGAAAUACAAACGGCGCUCGUAUAAUAAUUAGCGAUGAUGAAGAAUCAUUGUCCAACGCACGGCCUGAGCGGCCAAAAUCAUCUCGUAUAAUAAUUAGCGACGAUGAAGAUUAAGAAAACAUUUUAAUUUUAUUUUCAUUUUUGCUAUAUGAUAAUUUUAAUUUAUUUUGAAUGCUUCAAAUAUUAUCAUUCAAUAGUUUUAUUUUAUUUUUUAUGCUUUUCAGCUCAAGUGGAAAGACAGGCAUCAGCUUUACCCGCGAGUGUUCGAACCGGGGCACACAAACAGUACGCAUUGUUAAGCUUCGUCAGGGUCCCGCGUGUUCUUCUCGAUCGCGACACACCUUUACAGGACAAUCCGGGGUACACUUCAGGGUGCCAAGAAAAACAGUUCCCGAAAGACGUCCACAUUUUGUCAAGUAACGACGAAGAGAACAUGCAGGCAUGUUGGUGCCGGCUGGCUGGUACCUCUGGUGCGAUGCUGCGCGGGCUUGGAUCAUAUAAACGGCCAUGCGCUUCCCGCCGAGAUCACAAUCCCAGCGCUCGCGUGGCACCUCCUCGGUUACGUGUUCUCCGGUUCGAUGGUUGGCCAAUGUGGAUGACUUUACGUCUUUUGAUGGGCAGGUGAGGAGUCUUGGCGAGUGUUAACGAUACGUACGUGUGCAUCGAGACGUAAUCGCGCGACGAAAGACCAGACCUCACCUUUUUCGAUACCACCUUCGACGGCUAACGACGAUGCCGCCGACCGCGAACCUGCGCGGAUGUCGCGUAAUGUCGGCGCAAGGACUUCGCGACUCGCGGAUAUACGAUCAGGGAAUCAUGCCAGGCGAGGAAUCGUGAAAAACCUAGCCACGAACCUAGCCAUGAAUACAUGUUGUCGUUGUGUAUGUAAUAACGAAGCUGUCUGAACCAAUUCACAUACAUAGCUGCACAAAGAAAAUUUACAGGAGGGCACUAAUCACUUAUUUAACAACAAAGGACUAAUUAUGCUUACUUUUUUCUAUUUUUUUAUAUUUCUAAUUCUUAUAUUAUCUAAAUGGUUUAGAUAAUAUAAAAUAAGUAAGAUGACGAAAUAAGUAAGAUGCUUAAAUGAUAAAUUAUUAUAAAUUGAAUAAUAAUUUAAGAACAAUGAAAUAUCCAGAUUGAUUUAUAUAUUCCAGAGAUACAUUUCUUUUUGCAAUUUUUUAUCGACUCAACAGACAUCGCUUAUUAUAAUGCAAACAAAUGUCAUUUCAUAUCGCAAUAUAAAAUGUAAUCUUAAUAUAAGCAGAGAGUUAAUUAACAAGUUAAAUUUUGCGUCUUACCUGGUCAGGCUACAUCUUACUUACGUUUGAAGAACGUACAUUUUUGACGGCGGGUCGACGACGAUGACUACCGGCAUCGAUCGUCGUACCGUCUUUGUCUCUAUAGAACAACCAGAUUCCAGAAGGGUGACCACGUGCAUUCUAAUCUCAACUUUCGGAUGCCAGGCACGCACGACGCCGCAGGAGGCAACGCGUCGCGGCGAGUCCACUCGCAAAAUGCAAGCAGGCUCAUCGGGCCGAAUAGCUUUUGCGUAGUAAGAUAGCAUGCAAACGAGUUAGUGGCGCGCGACCUUCGUGAUUCUCUGCUCUCCUGGUAGAAGCGCGGGCUUCUUAUACGGUUGUAGGUGGAUAGCAUCCUCUCUCUGUGUUCCCACUCUAUCUGCAGUCUCCCCCACCAUACGCCGCACUCUCCACGCUCCAUAUCUUUCACGGCAGUCUCCCCCACCCGUCACACAUUCCUUUCCUUCACGUUCACCUUUCGGUUAGAUUGAAUGCGAGAAAAUGGCAAAGCGAUUUUUUAAGAAUAAACAAGAAUGCUGGCGUAGAAAAAUAUAGUAUUGAUAAAGAUUUGAAUACUGAUAUAUCAGUAUAUACAAAUGAAAAUGCUUCACAGCUCCUUAUAAAUAAUUAAGGAGCAACAAAAUCAAUAUUCUCUUUGUGUAAUAUUUGAAAUAGCAAAAAGAAUUGUUAGACUUUCCGAGUAAUUAAUUAUCAGUUACUUGAUAUCGAUAUCUUUU